rnacentral:lncRNA from 1 species
GAAUUGCAUGCAUUUUUGCAUGUAAUUAGGCUAUAAAUAGAGGUGUUUUCAAAUGUUGAAGGACUUUUGCCUCUUUUAUCAUUUUCAUCAUCUCAACAAAAGAAAAAAGAAAGCUUCCAAUCUCAUUUUAUCUCCAUUACUUUCUACACCAAAAUUGGGUCCCACAACCCGGUUCUUUGUCUAGAGGAUAGCAGUUGAGUACUAGUGGUGGUCUCGGGUAGAAUUGGUAAGAAGACAUCAAACAUUUUGAAAGCUUCAAAGGUAAUACUUCUUAAAACCCUAAUUUGAUUAGUUUAUGGUUACAUGUUAAUUGUGGCAAUUAGGGUAGAAAUUCGAUUCUUUUUCCGCUGUGCAUGACUUAGUUCUAUCAAGUAUCAAUGUAUGAAGCGAAUAAAAUUUUAGGUGCACUAAGAAUGAAUUGGGAAAAGAUUCACGCAUGUCCUAAUGAUUGUUGUUUGUAUAGAAAAGAAUAUGCUGAUGCAAUCGAAUGUUCUGAAUGUGGUGAAUCAAGGUGGAAGCAUGCUAAUAAUGCAAACAAAGGACAAAAAAGAUUCCUAGGCAUUAUACUUUCCACCGAUUCUACAUUUCAAAAGAUUGUUUCGAAGUAUUAAUUACCAUGCUAAAAAUUUGAUUUGGCAUGCUAAUGAGCGAGUAGUUAAUGGAAAAUUACGACAUCCCGCGGACUCUUCAUAAUUUAGUUGGUCCCAAAUUUCAUAAUUUGUAAUUUUAUCAUUUGAUUUGACAUUUAAUUUGGGAUAGUUUGUGAUUGAGUAAAAAGUUCUUACUCAAUACUUCGUUUUUCGAAAUAUGUGUUUCAAUUUUACAAAACCAAUAUUAAUAGGAAAAAAAAAACUCCCUUUUCUUAAAACAUGUUCUUAGUUUGUGCCAUGCACAUGUGAAAGUUGUAUUUUAUUUUAUUAAAAAAUCUAUAUAUUUCAACCCGAGAAGGUAAAUUAUUUGAUGUAAAAUCUUAUUUUAUUUUAUUGGAUAUUUUUAAAAAUAGUAAAAUAAAUUAAAAUAUUUAUAAGCUAUACCAAAAUUUUAGAUUCUAUUAAUGAUAGUCUUCUAUCACUAUAGUAUAUCAACGAUUAUCAAUAAUAAAAUUUUCUAUAGGCCAUAAAUAUUUUGUAAAAUUUGCUAUUUUUGAAAAUUUUUCAUUUUAUAAAAGUUGUUCGUAAUUUGUUUAUUUGAAUACUAUUAUUAUUUUGAAACUUUUGGCAUUUGAGUGUAGUAAUAAAUUUUAGAAAUAAUUUACAAAAGCAAUUAAAUGUUAUAAUUACAUGAUGCCACAUUUUCCACACAAAUGACAUAAACAGGGUUCUUACAUAUUUUGAUGUGAAUAGCACAAAUCUCAUAUCUACAAAAAGAAAAGAAAAAUAAUAAGAGAGUCAACACGUAAAGAAAAACAAGAGUGGUAAUCGCUUGAUGACAACCAACUAAAUAAACGAUUACAAUACUAUGGAGAGAUUUUAGAUAGGUACCAUUUCUAGUAGAGGGAAAAUAUAGACAAUAAAACAACAUGUAGUGUUGUUUAAAAUAAUUAGUAGAAGAUGGCAUUUCUAUGCCUACGAGGGUGAAAGAAAAAUAGAUAAAUUAAACGGGAGUUUUUAAAAAAUAUAACAAAUCGAUAAAAUAUUUACACUAGAACAAUUUAAAAAAUAAAAAAAGUCUAUGGGCCAGUAAUGAAAAAUACAAAAAAUGUCUAAAUCAACGCAAGAUUAAUUGGCCACUCGCAUACGUAAUAUAUUUGGUAUGACUACACUAUCGUUUAGAUAUAGUUACCAAAAUCUAAACAAUAUUUUUCAAGAUUCUUUGGUACACGAUCGUUUAGAUCUGGUUACUAAAACCUAAACGAUUGAGUACCAAUACUCCAACGACUUUUUCAAGAUCUUUUAUAAUUUUGGUAUAUGACUAAACCAAAUAACAUUGAAAACAAAAAAUACAAGAUUUAUGAUUGAUUGAAAACAAAGAUCGAGAUUUUAAAAACAUUAUAAAAAAAUUACAAAAUAAAUAAAAAGACGAUGAAAAGGAAAAGAAAAAAUGAAAGAAAAUUGAAAAGAAAGAAAAAUGUGAAAUAUUUUAAAAAUUGGUCGAUUUUUUAAAUUAACUUAAAUAAAAAAAAAAUAUAAGUUGAUGAUAUUAAUUACCUCUUAAACUUUUGUUGAGAAUGUAUAGGAAAUAUUUCUAUAGUUGUUGAUUGUAGAAAUAAAAAUGAAAAAGUGAGAAAAAUAAUACAAGUAUACAAAUAUAAAAUAUAAAAUAAUAAAAAGAAGAAGUCAAUAUACCUUUCAAACUCUUUUAUAGUUGUAGAAUAGAACAAGAAUAUAUUUCAUAAUUAAAUGAUAAAGUUACGUUUUUUUCAUAUUUCUAUUUAUUAAUUACAUUUAAUAAUUAAACAAAACAAACGAUGGAAAAAUUUAUAGAUGUUCACGAAUGUUAGAAUAUUGAAAGAUUUUAUUCAAAAUUAGAAAAAAAAAUAUAAAAACUCAUAAUUAAAAAAUGAAGUUAUUAGAAACAUUUUUAGUUAAAAAAUGAACAAAUUUAUUUAUUUUCAUAUAAGUUGGAGAGGGGAAGGGAGUGAUGAUGUUUUGGAGGUUAGUGGAGAUUAAUUAAGAAAUUAAAAGAGUGAAAUGGAAAGUUAGGAAUUGAUAAUUGCAUAAUACGCGUUGAAAGAAAGAGAAGUUAGUGAAUGAUUAAUCCCUAACAUAGUGCAUAUUUUAGUUUAGUCGUUGACAUCCUUCGACCAAUUCAAAUAUUCUUUUGACAUUUUAACUCUUUUUCUUUUUCUUCUUCUUCUUCUUCUUCUUUUUAUUUCAAUUUUCCAAAUUCAACUUUCUAGAAAAUGAAUAGUUCCAUUUUUUUCUUCUUUCUUUCUUGGAUUUUGGCAGUGGGAAACAACCAUUCACACCUAUAAUCUAUCAUUUCCCUUUUCCUCUUUUCUAUUAAACAAUAUCAAAAAGUCACCGAUUUUGAUUUUAUUUUAGACCAUUUCUCCAUCAUAACUUCUUCACAAUUUUUGCUCGGUUUUUCCUUUUUUUUUUUCCUUUUUUUUUUUUUUUUAAGUAAAUUUGUUUUUGUACUAAAACCAUUUAUAAGGUUUUGCUUUUAUUUAUUUAUUUCUUUACAUUCUAUUUUUUAAAUGGGUUUACCAUACUUUUCAAAUUUCAUUAUACAUAUUCUUACAUUUUACUUAUGUAUUUGCAAACAAGUUAGUUGCCAAGUUUAGAAAGGUUUUUUCUUCUGCCUAAAGUCAUUUUUCUAAAAUUUCUUUAUAACCCUAAUAAAUAACAAAAAAAGAAACAUUUUUAAAUAUAUGAUAUUGAAUUAAAAUAUUUACAAAAUAUAACAAAAAUUUUAGAAAAUGUUCGACACAGGGGAUUAUAAGUACUAUUAUAGUAUGCGUUUGAGAUGCAGACUAUUAUAGUCUAUUAAGUUGUGUUUGAGAGGACAUUAUUAUAAUAUGAGAUUUUCCCUACUCAUUUUUUUUGUUUACGUAUAUACUGUACAUAAAAUACACAUUUUUCUUAAAUUUUUUUCUUUCUUUUUUGGUAAAAUGAGAAAACUGUAUAUAGAGUUACAUACAAGUGUUAGUUGAGUUAAACUUAUGUUGACAAUAUAUAUUAUAUUUGUUUAAUAACAAAUUGAAUUUAAA